UUGCUAGAAUUAACUCUUUAAAAUUAAUUUCCAAAUCCUUGCUCACUCUCCCGUCUCAGCCACUCCCUACUCUGACCAUCGCUUCUCCCUGUUCUAUACCACCACCACCAUCGCAACCCCGCCCCACCGACCGCCGACCGAUGACACUCCCGAGGCGCCGACACAGUGACACAACGACCGCCACCACCGCCAAAUCAUGUUCGUCUUCUCGCUCCCUUAAUCACUUUUUAGUUUCCGAAGGGCUUUUAAUUUUGAUAAAAUGGCAGAACAAAUAACUCAUAAACCACGGUUUCCACAAUCUGCUCGAAGAGUCCCUCCCCCCUGCGACACGGUUUCCUCUACUCCCAGGGAUAGUGGAGACAAGUGUAAAUCCUUGAUUAAGAUGCUUCAGAGGAAUCUCCACUUCUCCACUUGUAGGAUGCUGUUAGCGAGUUUGUUUAUGUACUCAAUUUAUCACCGUUCAAGGUAUUUGUCAGGUUCGCACCUUUUGGCAAAGAGCAUCCUGCAUCUGACAAUGUGACAGAAGUGUGCCAUAAUUUUUUAAAGUCAAAGAAACAGAUCAAAAUGAGUCAAAGAAGUAAAAAAACAAGGGUAGAUACUAAAGUGAGUGAUAUCAUAUGAACUUGCCCUAUGGCGGUAACAAAAUGAGGUCCUGUUCUUCGCAGUUUUUAAAACUUCUAUUUGUCUUCACUCCUUUAUAUGGCACACUUGUUUUUGCAGUGCUGAUGAAGAAGAUGAAGUAAUAUUGAAUGUGGAUUAACAUUAUGCUCAAGCUAAAGUUCUUAGCUUUAUUUUGAAUAUUGGAGAUUGUGUGUAUGUAAAGUUGUCAUUAUUUUAUUCUUAUGUAUUUUAAUAUUGUUAUUCCCCACCCCCACCCAAAAACAAAUCUUGGUUUUUUACAACACAUUAGCCUUUUGUUUUGUUUUCUGGUGCUUUAAUGAAUGACAGUUUACUUAAACUGCAAUAGUCACUUAAAGUUUUUCAAAUUUUAAAAGUUUCUUUUUCAUGGAAGAAGGUGAAGAUGAUGCUAAUUCUCUGGCAGAUUCUGAUGAUUCGGAUGCAGAAUAUGAAAUUCUACACCUGGUAGAUAUCUGUUUUGGAGAUCCUAAUGAUACUGGAAAGCCUGGCAUACAUUUUCAGGAAUACAUUUUAUUUAUAUAAUUUGUUUGUGAGAGAUCAUUGGAUAGUUGAAAAUAUAAUCUGCAUUUGAAAUCCUUAUGGAAAAGAAACACAAAGAGACCUUGAAGAUACAUGGGAGCCAAUUGAUGGGCUGAAUUCUAUAUGUGCACUGGUUAGAAGUUGGAAG